rnacentral:rRNA from 1 species
UUGCUUCUUUGCCGGCGAGCGGCGGACGGGUGAGUAAUUUCUGGGGAUCUGCCCGAUGGAGGGGGAUAACUACUGGAAACGGUAGCUAAUACCGCAUAACGUCGCAAGACCAAAGUGGGGGACCUUCGGGCCUCACACCAUCGGAUGAACCCAGAUGGGAUUAGCUAGUAGGUGGGGUAAUGGCUCACCUAGGCGACGAUCUCUAGCUGGUCUGAGAGGAUGACCAGCCACACUGGAACUGAGACACGGUCCAGACUCCUACGGGAGGCAGCAGUGGGGAAUAUUGCACAAUGGGGGAAACCCUGAUGCAGCCAUGCCGCGUGUGUGAAGAAGGCCUUCGGGUUGUAAAGCACUUUCAGCGGGGAGGAAGGCGGUGGCGUUAAUAGCGCUAUCGAUUGACGUUACCCGCAGAAGAAGCACCGGCUAACUCCGUGCCAGCAGCCGCGGUAAUACGGAGGGUGCGAGCGUUAAUCGGAAUUACUGGGCGUAAAGCGUACGCAGGCGGUCUGUUAAGUCAGAUGUGAAAUCCCCGGGCUCAACCUGGGAACUGCAUUUGAAACUGGCAGGCUAGAGUCUCGUAGAGGGGGGUAGAAUUCCAGGUGUAGCGGUGAAAUGCGUAGAGAUCUGGAGGAAUACCGGUGGCGAAGGCGGCCCCCUGGACGAAGACUGACGCUCAGGUACGAAAGCGUGGGGAGCAAACAGGAUUAGAUACCCUGGUAGUCCACGCUGUAAACGAUGUCGAUUUGAAGGUUGUGGCCUUGAGCCGUGGCUUUCGGAGCUAACGCGUUAAAUCGACCGCCUGGGGAGUACGGCCGCAAGGUUAAAACUCAAAUGAAUUGACGGGGGCCCGCACAAGCGGUGGAGCAUGUGGUUUAAUUCGAUGCAACGCGAAGAACCUUACCUACUCUUGACAUCCAGAGAACGUGGCAGAGAUGCUUUGGUGCCUUCGGGAGCUCUGAGACAGGUGCUGCAUGGCUGUCGUCAGCUCGUGUUGUGAAAUGUUGGGUUAAGUCCCGCAACGAGCGCAACCCUUAUCCUUUGUUGCCAGCGAUUCGGUCGGGAACUCAAAGGAGACUGCCGGUGAUAAACCGGAGGAAGGUGGGGAUGACGUCAAGUCAUCAUGGCCCUUACGAGUAGGGCUACACACGUGCUACAAUGGCGCAUACAAAGAGAAGCGAUCUCGCGAGAGUCAGCGGACCUCAUAAAGUGCGUCGUAGUCCGGAUUGGAGUCUGCAACUCGACUCCAUGAAGUCGGAAUCGCUAGUAAUCGUGGAUCAGAAUGCCACGGUGAAUACGUUCCCGGGCCUUGUACACACCGCCCGUCACACCAUGGGAGUGGGUUGCAAAAGAAG